rnacentral:rRNA from 1 species
UACAGAGGAGCCAAGCGUUGUCCGGAUUGACUGGGCGUAAAGCGCACGCAGGCGGUUGCGCGCGUGGGGUGUGAAAUCUGGCCGCUUAACGGCCAGGCGCCAUCCCAUACGGCGCGACUGGAGUGAUGCAGAGGUCGAUGGAAUUGCCGGUGUAGUGGUGAAAUGCGUAGAGAUCGGGCAGGAACACCCAGGGGGAAACCAGUCGACUGGGCAUCUACUGACGCUGAGGUGCGAGAGCGUGGGGGAGCGAACCGG